rnacentral:rRNA from 1 species
GAGUUUGAUCCUAGCUCAGAUUGAACGCUGGCGGAAUGCUUUACACAUGCAAGUCGAGCGGCAGCGCGGGGCAACCUGGCGGCGAGCGGCGAACGGGUGAGUAAUGCAUCGGAACAUGUCCAUAUCGUGGGGGAUAGCCCGGCGAAAGCCGGAUUAAUACCGCAUAUGCCCGAGAGGGGAAAGUGGGGGACCGCAAGGCCCCACGCGAUUGGGUUGGCCGAUGUCCGAUUAGCUAGUUGGCGGGGUAAGAGCCCACCAAGGCGAUGAUCGGUAGCUGGUCUGAGAGGAUGAUCAGCCACACUGGGACUGAGACACGGCCCAGACUCCUACGGGAGGCAGCAGUGGGGAAUUUUGGACAAUGGGGGAAACCCUGAUCCAGCCAUUCCGCGUGAGUGAAGAAGGCCUCGGUUGUAAAGCUCUUUGUCCGGUACGAAACGGACUAGCGUGAAUAUCGCUGGCUACUGACGGUACCGGAA